GUGUCAGCCGCCGCGGUAAUACGUAGGGUGCAAGCGUUAAUCGGAAUUACUGGGCGUAAAGCGUGUGUAGGCGGUUCGGAAAGAAAGAUGUGAAAUCCCAGGGCUCAACCUUGGAACUGCAUUUUUAACUGCCGAGCUAGAGUAUGUCAGAGGGGGGUAGAAUUCCACGUGUAGCAGUGAAAUGCGUAGAUAUGUGGAGGAAUACCGAUGGCGAAGGCAGCCCCCUGGGAUAAUACUGACGCUCAGACACGAAAGCGUGGGGAGCAAACAGGAUUAGAUACCCUGGUAGUCCACGCCCUAAACGAUGUCAACUAGCUGUUGGGGCCGUUAGGCCUUAGUAGCGCAGCUAACGCGUGAAGUUGACCGCCUGGGGAGUACGGUCGCAAGAUUAAAACUCAAAGGAAUUGACGGGGACCCGCACAAGCGGAGGAACAUGUGGUUUAAUUCGAUGAUACGCGAGGAACCUUACCCGGGUUUGAACGUAGGGAGACAGGAGUGGAAACAUUCUUUUCAGCAAUGACUGCCUACGAGGUGCUGCAUGGUUGUCGUCAGCUCGUGCCGUGAGGUGUCGGCUUAAGUGCCAUAACGAGCGCAACCCUUAUUUCCAGUUACUAACAGGUCAAGCUGAGGACUCUGGAGAGACUGCCAGCGUAAGCUGUGAGGAAGGUGGGGAUGACGUCAAAUCAGCACGGCCCUUACAUCCGGGGCGACACACGUGUUACAAUGGUAAGGACAAAGGGCAGCUACCGGGCGACCGGAUGCGAAUCUCUAAACCUUAUCUCAGUUCGGAUCGGAGUCUGCAACUCGACUCCGUGAAGCUGGAUUCGCUAGUAAUCGCGCAUCAGCCAUGGCGCGGUGAAUACGUUCCCGGGCCUUGUACACACCGCCCGUCAAGCCAUGGGAGCCGGGGGUACCUGAAGUUCGUAACCGCAAGGAUCGACCUAGGGUAAAACUGGUGACUGGGGCUAAGUCGUAACAAGGUAACC
rnacentral:rRNA from 1 species